rnacentral:rRNA from 1 species
ACCGCGAACUUUUAAACCUUUGACGAUUGACUCACGUUGCCUCGGCGGGUUCGCCCGCCAGAGGAUACAUCAAAACUCCUGUUUUAACGGUGUUGUCUGAGCUACAAGCAACGAAUUAAAACUUUCAACAACGGAUCUCUUGGUUCUGGCAUCGAUGAAGAACGCAGCGAAAUGCGAUAAGUAGUGUGAAUUGCAGAAUUCAGUGAAUCAUCGAAUCUUUGAACGCACAUUGCGCCCCUUGGUAUCCCGAGGGGCAUGCCUGUUCGAGCGUCAUUUCACCAUUCAAGCCUGGCUUGGUGUUGGGCGACGUCCCCUUUGGGGACGCGCUUCGAAACGCUCGGCGGCGUGGCACCGGCUUUAAGCGUAGCAGAAUCUUUCGCUUUGAAAGUCGGGGCCCCGUCUGCCGGAAGACCUACUCAAGGUUGACCUCGGAUCAGGUAGGGAUACCCGCUGAACUUAAGCAUAUCAAUAAG